UUAAAAUGUUUUGUGUGUAUGUCUUUUAUCCACAAACUCGAGUUAUGAUUAGGUGAAAGAAUAAUCUAACAUAUGUACUAAUGUGGACUAUAUCUGUUUUUCAGGUGAUGGGGGUUACGGCUGCUACUCUUGGCUCCUUACUCCAUUGUCCCAACCUGAUUCUCCUGCUGAACACAGUUACAAUCAUGCACAUAAGGCUACGCGGAAUGUGAUAGAAAGAUGUUUUGGUGUGCUGAAGUCACGGUUUCGGUGUCUGGAUAAAUCUGCUGGCCUUUUGUUGUAUAGUCCCUCAAAGAUAACUGAGGGGAUCGGGGCUCAUCACUCUGCGAACUCGCCAAUAGUGCCAGUGGUGGCUGGGGUGACACUGCCGAAAGUCGUCGCCUGGGUGGGGAUGAUGGAGCCGCAGAUUCCGAGCCAAGACGCCGUGUCUUACUUGGCCUCCUGGAAUAUGUGACUACACUGAAGUCUUACCUGCAAUCCCAGCCUCAUCCUGACUUGUCUGAGGCCUGUCUGGCCGGCUGGUCUGUGGGACUGUUGAAAAAGUGUACCAAACAUUAUU